rnacentral:lncRNA from 1 species
UGUUAACACCAAAAUUAUAAGAUUUAUGGUAUUGAGAAAGUCUUGGUGUUUGAAUUUAAAAGAAGGAAAAAACUAAUUUCGAUUGGCAUGUGUAUUUCGACUAAGAUUAAUUUAUAUAUGUGUACUUGUCGAAUGAUUGGUUUGAGGUUCCAAUUGCCAAAAUGUUAAUUGAUACAUGCAUGCUAUCAAGUAUUAAUCCAAGUACAUAUAUGUUAUUCAAAAAAGUGGUCGAAUUGGUAUAUUGUGUUUCACUUUAAUCCAUUGUUAAUACCACAAAUAUAUAUAUAUUUGGUCGAAAAAGGUUAAUAUAUAUAUAAUAGAAGUUAUUAAGUUGGGAGG